CGCCCUGUAGUCUAAUGGUACGACGUCGCCACAUCUCGUGAGGAGGAGAUUGCAAGUUCGAUUCUUGUCGGGGUUU